rnacentral:sRNA from 1 species
GCGGGAACAAUCCAGAGGGACGCUUGGCUGCUACGCGGGAUUGCAGUGGUGCAGCCAGCCCCGAAGUCGGAAGGUGCUCUCUAGGGACUACAGGAAGAUAAAGUUUGUGCUUGAUUUGGAAUUAGCUAGAUCCUUUGGGGGAGAGGGGAUCGAGCCGAUUUCGGGAGGAUGUUCACUGCGCGGAUGAUGCUCAGGCCAUCGGGAAAUCCAGAAACAGGCGACGAUCUUCGUCAAGAGAAAAAUGAUCCUAUGGAGAAAAGUAAAUGUCGCUAGGUUGGGAUGGAUGGUAACAGGCCAAGCCCCGGACCUAUAUCUAGCCACAUUUUUUGUCAAGGAGGAAACCAAUUCUAUAGAGAAAAGUACCUCCCUGUCCCUUGCAAGGACCAGUGUCAGGCAAUCUUAGUGCCACUGUCUGGCUACUGCAUGUCAAGGAGCCAAUCCCAUGUAGAAAUAAACUGCCUCUUACUCCCUGGAUGCUAUAGCCUGAAGCAGGCCACACUCCCCAGAAAUGAGGGACCCAAUCACACAAGGAUGCAAAUCCUGACUCCACCCCUCCAAUCCUCAGUGGAGCUGGUCGCAGAUCCUGAGACCCGGACAGUGGCAGUGAAACAGCUGGGAGUUAACCCCUCAACUACCGGGACCCAGGAGUUGAAGCCGGGGUUGGAGGGCUCUCUGGGGGUGGGGGACACACUGUAUUUGGUCAAUGGCCUCCACCCACUGACCCUGCGCUGGGAAGAGACCCGCACACCAGAAUCCCAGCCAGAUACUCCGCCUGGCACCCCUCUGGUGUCCCAAGACGAGAAGAGAGAUGCUGAGCUGCCGAAGAAGCGUAUGCGGAAGUCAAACCCCGGCUGGGAGAACUUGGAGAAGUUGCUAGUGUUCACCGCAGCUGGGGUGAAACCCCAGGGCAAGGUGGCUGGCUUUGAUCUGGACGGGACCCUCAUCACCACACGCUCUGGGAAGGUCUUUCCCACUGGCCCCAGUGACUGGAGGUGAUAAGAGGCAAAACAAGGGAGUGAGUGAGGCCUGGAGUCCACCUCUGGCCCCGGGUCACCCCUGCCGCUUCAUACUUGCCGUAGGAUCUUGUACCCAGAGAUUCCCCGUAAGCUCCGAGAGCUGGAAGCCGAGGGCUACAAGCUGGUGAUCUUCACCAACCAGAUGAGCAUCGGGCGCGGGAAGCUGCCAGCCGAGGAGUUCAAGGCCAAGGUGGAGGCUGUGGUGGAGAAGCUGGGGGUCCCCUUCCAGGUGCUGGUGGCCACGCACGCAGGCUUGUACCGGAAGCCGGUGACGGGCAUGUGGGACCAUCUGCAGGAGCAGGCCAACGACGGCGCGCCCAUAUCCAUCGGGGACAGCAUCUUUGUGGGAGACGCAGCCGGACGCCCGGCCAACUGGGCCCCGGGGCGGAAGAAGAAAGACUUCUCCUGCGCCGAUCGCCUGGUGAGGCCCCUGCCCCCUGCCCCGCGCCCGAGCCCGAGCCUGGCCUGUGUCUGAUGUUCGUCCUCAACCCCUAGUUUGCCCUCAACCUUGGCCUGCCCUUCGCCACCCCUGAGGAGUUCUUUCUGAAGUGGCCAGCAGCAGGCUUCGAGCUCCCAGCCUUUGAUCCGAGGACUGUCUCCCGCUCAGGGCCUCUCUGCCUCCCCGAGUCCAGGGCCCUCCUGAGCGCUAGCCCGGAGGUGGUUGUCGCAGUGGGAUUCCCUGGGGGUAAGUGUCCUGUCCCUGUGCCCUGAGCCCCGCCUGGGUCCUAGGCCACCCACCGACACUGCUCCCCACACAGCCGGGAAGUCCACCUUUCUCAAGAAGCACCUCGUGUCGGCCGGAUAUGUCCACGUGAACAGGGACACGCUAGGCUCCUGGCAGCGCUGUGUGACCACCUGUGAGACAGCCCUGAAGCAAGGGAAACGGGUCGCCAUCGACAACACAAACCCGGACGCUGCGAGCCGCGCCAGGUAGCGUGACCGUAGGUAGGGCCGUAGGGGGCCUGUGGCGGGGUGGGCGGGGCCUGCACAUCCAGCUCCUUCCCCCACAGGUACGUCCAGUGUGCCCGAGCCGCGGGCGUCCCCUGCCGCUGCUUCCUCUUCACCGCCACUCUGGAGCAGGCGCGCCACAACAACCGGUUUCGAGAGAUGACAGACUCCUCUCAUAUCCCCGUGUCAGACAUGGUCAUGUAUGGCUACAGGAAGCAGUUCGAGGCCCCAACGCCGGCGGAAGGCUUCUCUGCCAUCCUGGAGAUCCCGUUCCGGCUAUGGGUGGAGCCGAGGCUGGGGCGGCUGUACUGCCAGUUCUCCGAGGGCUGAGCCCCACCCAGCUCCCCUCCACAAUAAAUGCUGUUUCUCCUUGA